GAUGAACGCUGGCGGCGUGCCUAAUACAUGCCAGUCGAGCGAACAGACGAGGAACUUGCUCCUCUGACGUUAGCGGCGGACGGGUGAGUAACACGUGGAUAACCUACCUAUAAGACUGGGAUAACUUCGGGAAACCGGAGCUAAUACCGGAUAAUAUAUUGAACCGCAUGGUUCAAUAGUGAAAGACGGUUUUGCUGUCACUUAUAGAUGGAUCCGCGCCGCAUUAGCUAGUUGGUAAGGUAACGGCUUACCAAGGCAACGAUGCGUAGCCGACCUGAGAGGGUGAUCGGCCACACUGGAACUGAGACACGGUCCAGACUCCUACGGGAGGCAGCAGUAGGGAAUCUUCCGCAAUGGGCGAAAGCCUGACGGAGCAACGCCGCGUGAGUGAUGAAGGUCUUCGGAUCGUAAAACUCUGUUAUUAGGGAAGAAUAAAUGUGUAAGUAACUAUGCACGUCUUGACGGUACCUAAUCAGAAAGCCACGGCGAACUACGU
rnacentral:rRNA from 1 species